AGUGAACGCUGGCGGCGUGCUUAACACAUACAAGUCGAACGAGAACGGAUUAUAGCUUGCUAUAAUUGUCAGCUAAGUGGCGCACGGGUGAGUAAUGUAUAGGUAAUAUGCCUCUUACUAAGGGAUAACAAAUGGAAACGUUUGCUAAUACCUUAUACUCCUUAUUAACAUAAGUUAAUAAUGGAAAGAUUUAUUGGUAAGAGAUUAGCCUGUAUUGUAUCAGUUAGUUGGUGGGGUAAUGGCUUACCAAGACUAUGACACAUAACUGGUUUGAGAGGAUGAUCAGUCACACUGGAACUGAGACACGGUCCAGACUCCUACGGGAGGCAGCAGUGGGGAAUAUUGCACAAUGGACGAAAGUCUGAUGCAGCAACGCCGCGUGGAGGAUGACACAUUUCGGUGCGUAAACUCCUUUUAUAUGCGAAGAUAAUGACGGUAUUAUAUGAAUAAGCACCGGCUAACUCCGUGCCAGCCGCCGCCGUAA
rnacentral:rRNA from 1 species